rnacentral:rRNA from 1 species
AGCUCCAAUAGCGUAUAUUAAAGUUGUUGCAGUUAAAAAGCUCGUAGUUGGAUUUGUGGAUUUGUUGCUCGGUCCGACGCUUCUUGUGUGGGUACCUGAGUGACGGGUCCAUCCUUGGGUCGAAUCUGUGUGGCAUUAGGUUGUCGUGCAGGGGAUGCCCAUCGUUUACUGUGAAAAAAUUAGAGUGUUCAAAGCAGGCUUAUGCCGUUGAAUAUAUUAGCAUGGAAUAAUGAGAUAGGACCUCGGUACUAUUUUGUUGGUUUGCGCACUGAGGUAAUGGUUAAUAGGGACAGUUGGGGGUAUUCGUAUUCCAUUGUCAGAGGUGAAAUUCUUGGAUUUUUGGAAGACGAACGACUGCGAAAGCAUUUACCAAGGAUGUUUUCA